CACGGGGGGAGCAAGCGUUGUUCGGAAUCACUGGGCGUAAAGGGCGUGUAGGCGGUUAGGUAAGUGGGAUGUGAAAGCCCCCGGCUCACCCGGGGAUCUGCAUUCCAAACUGCCUGACUUGAGUAUGGGAGAGGAUAGGGGAAUUCCUGGUGUAGCGGUGAAAUGCGUAGAUAUCAGGAGGAACACCGGUGGCGAAGGCGCCUAUCUGGCCCAAUACUGACGCUGAGGCGCGAAAGCUAGGGGAGCAAACGGG
rnacentral:rRNA from 1 species